GCGGGUAUAGCUCAGUGGUAGAGCACAACCUUGCCAAGGUUGGGGUCGCGAGUUCGAGCCUCGUUUCCCGCUCCA
rnacentral:tRNA from 1 species